rnacentral:misc_RNA from 1 species
GAUUGCAGCCUAAUUGUUAUAUAUCCACUGUCAAAAUUUAGCUUUUAAAUUUCUCACCGGCCCUUCACAAUGGCAGCAGAAGAGAUUCUAAUAGUGAUUGUAUAAAUUUACUAGUCUCUCAAUGCCUAUCACAUGAAAUUUGACCUACUGAUGUUCACAAUUAAAUAGCAAAUACAUCAUCAGGCCACUUAUUUCAACCCUCUCUGAUUAUCAAAAAUUCUUCUGCAGAUAUAUCCUGCAUCUUCUUCUUGAACACUGGAAAAAGAUUGCAGCUUUUUUCCUCAUUCUUCUUCAACAGACUCUUUUUCUUCUUCAUUUUUCACAUUGUUCAGUUGACAUUAGUAGUUCUGUGAUCUUGAGCUUGAAGCACAAACAGUUUUGGAAUCCAUGUCUGUUCCACAUACAGAUUCACACCACAUUCCCUCACAGGAAGUAAUCAGAUUUUCCAAUCAAAUUCUUAAAGCGUGUACAUGUGCUUAUUGAAUGUCCAAACUCUCUGCAGGCAAUGCACUUUUCAGGCAUCCAGAGGUACUCCACUCUUACAAGCAGCUCCUCACCAUCAUCAUCCAUAACUGAUAUAUCUUCCAUAAUCUUGUCUUCUAUGCUUAUCUCCACACAUACUUUUGCAAAAGCAAUUGUAGACAUGCUAGCAGUUGCCCUGUCUACAUACAAAGGUUUCCCAACAGCACUAGCUAUAUAACUCAGCCCUUGCAUAGUCAUAUACUCCAUAGGGAUCCCCAUAAGUUUGAUCCAAACAGGGAUCUUUGAUUUAUCGAGUUCCAAUAGUUUCAUCUUAGGUUGCCACCUUCUCAUCACCAAAGGAUUAUUUGCCAUAUACCAAGGUCCAGAUUCCAGCACAAAGUCUCUUGUUCUUUCAUUUGGAAAUUUAAAGAUGUAAAGCUCAUUUUCUGUUUUGGUUACUUCUAUUCUUCCUUCUUUUCCCCACAAUCCAUUUGCCAUAUUGAGCAUUACACUGAUAUCUGCACUUUGCCCAAGAAAUUGCCCCACAAGACAUUGAUCCCACUUUUUAAUUCCCUCUUCAACUACAGCUUUAGGAAUUCUAACAAUGUUCUUACCAUUUGUGCUCUCAGGCAUGAAAAACCGCAACGGCUGACCUCCAAAGACAAUCUGUGAGUCUGGCAAAGUUGCAGCGCUUUGCCUCUGAUUAAUGACUUCAAUAUUACGAGGUAAUCCACUGCCAUGCUCUUUCAUCUCAAAAUUAUCAGAUGAGGCAACAUUUUUUUCUUCAUUUGUAUCAUAAAAAAUAGUUUCUGGUGACAAUGGCGAAAAAAUUGUCUCCACAGCAUUCCUCAUUUUCCUUGAAUUGCUCAUGUCAUUAGUAAUCUUCAACCUCUGAUUCUGAUUCAAGAUUUCUUUUGAUAUUAACAAUGAUUUAGUCACAGCAUUGCCAUUAGCCUUAAGUGCCACUGCAUUCACUACAUCUUCCUGGAAACGAAGCUCUGAUUGCCAUUUAGCUGCUGCACACCUAGCUUCUGAUAUGCCACUACUUCUCAAUUCCAAUGGCACAACACAAGCUGCAUUUUCCCUUUCUUUAACUGGUUCUCUUGCAAGGUUAUGCAGAGAACUUGUAUCCUUUCCAGAAACACCAUUUCCAACUAAGUUUUGGUGCUGAAUCUUAAAUUUGUCGGUGCUUAAGCCCUUCAUUGGUUCAUUUUCAGUCUUCCCAUUAGAUUGGCUCGAUGCACUGUCAAACCUUAUCAAUCUGUGAAUGCCUGCCAUAUCCCAAAACUUCUCGUGGCUUCUAGUCUCUUCCAGGUUUUUUUGAGAAAAAUAUUUCUUACUUAGAUCUUGCAGAGGCAAUAGAUACUCAUUAUCAGAAAUAUCUAUCAAAGAUUUACUGAUGAGAAAUUUCGUUCCGCUCUUUGCCUGCAGAUCACCACUGACCAGUGAUUGAACUAUUCUUGUUAUAUGAUCAUCAUCCAUCUCCUUCAAGAAACAUGCAAUAUCUAAGAACAUGCUGUUAUUUGCCUUUUCUGCUUUGUUAAAACUUGCAUCAAAUAAAUUAUCCCUACCUUGUGGUUCACCAAAUCUUAUAUCAAGUACAUUCAAUAUCGUUUUGUUAGGAGUUCUAGCUGAUAUAACAAUUCUGCUUCCCGGAAUGAACCAGCCAUGCUUUCUAAGUAAGGAUGCCACCAGUUCUAGAUUAUCCAGGUCAUCAAGAAGAACAAGUACUUUUUUAUGUUGCCGCUUACUCCUUAUCACAUUUAUUACUCUAUCAGCAUCCCAUAUGUUUCUACUACACUCCCUUGGCAUUUCAGAAACAAGUUCUUGAAAACGAAACAAUCCCCAUUUCUGCUUGAUGACUGCAUCAUAAACAACUCUUCCAAUAGUUGUACUGCUUAUUCCAUCCAUCCCACAAAUUCUCACUAUGUCGGUUUUAUCUAACCCCUCGUAUAAAUAAAGAUUAAUUUCCUUUAUUGUGGAACUUAAUGGGACCAACUGCUUGCCAGUACUUGGGGAUUUGCAUCUCAAAUUCCAUGAUAUCUUCCUAACAAUGCUUUUUAUUAAUUUCGAAUCAGAUCUAUAAUUUUGGACAUCCCAUCCUGAUAUACCAGCAAUUUCAGUCAAAGCAAUCCUCCACC